CUCAUGAAAAUGAGGGAAGGGGCCAGGGAAGGGAGGAGGGGGAAGAAAGGGGAGAUACUGGGGAUGGCAUCGCUCAGAUCUUAUGGUCAUAUCGUGUGCAUGUAUGAAUAGGUAGCAAUGAGCCCUGUCAUCACGUACAACUGCAAUACACCAACAGAAAUCAUGCUGUGUAACAAACAGCACGGACUCUCAGUGGCGUGCAACAGUAUGUGUUUAUUUCCCCUGUGUCCAGAGGGUGGUGAGGUGGCUUUGCUGACCUUCGCUGGGCUCACAUAUCUGGGGGUUGGCUGUCUGUCAGGUGACCUGGGAUGGUCUUGACUCAGUGCCCUGGGAAACUCAGCUCUGACCUGUGCAUCUCUUAUCUUUCAUCGAGCUAACUCGACCGGGUUCUCCUGGUGGUGGAAGAGGACGAGGCCUAAGAGAGCUAGCAGAAACACCAGGGCUUCACGUGCUGGCCAAGGAAAGUCACGUAGCUGCGUUCAGCAUCCAGGCUUGGGGAGAUGCACUUCACUCCCUUUGCUGAUGAAGUUGCAAUCACCCAGCAAAGGGUGUAGAACUCAGGCACAUGGCCACAUCUAACAGCAGGAAAGCUCGGAAAUAGUUAGCUACGUGAUGACUGUGGAUCAAAGGGAAGGGCCACAUCAUGGUAAGUCCUGGGCAGCCUAGGUACGUACUAGAUGACAAUGUGUGGAGGGAGGAAGGUGGAGGAGAGGAGCCACGGCGUGAGAGUGUCCAAGGGAAUGUGUAGACCUGACGUCUAGAACAGACUCGGCACCUUCUCUACCCAGCAGGCUGAAUGGCCAUUGCGGAUUAUCAAGUUAAGGAUUUAAAUCUGGUUUUGUCAGAUUUGAGUCCCAUUUUUGAGCUUAAAAACCCUUGAUAAACCCUUAAGGAUAAAUUCUAAGUGUCAGUGACUUAAGUCCUCCGUCAGUCUGACCGACCUUGUGUACUUCGCCUUCCCACUUGCUUUUUACUCAGCUCUGAUGGUCUUUUUAAUUUGCCUAGAGGGAAGGAUCUUUCAUCGUGCUAUUCAUCGUGCUGUUCCUCCAUCUCUUGGGCCCUCUUCUCUGAAACACUUCUAACCCUUUCCUUCUUGACUCAGAUUUUCUUAUUCUUCAGUUCUCAGCCUAAACAUUAUAUCCUAAUAUAAGCCAAAGACAGGUUCAAAGCUAAGACACUAAACUACUGAUCCAAGGGACUGAGAAAACACUAAGGAAGGUAGGUAACCCCCCCCACACACACACACACUCAAGCCACUGAAACGCAAAGGCACGAGGUAUCCUGGAAGACGAGUGGAGGAAAAAGACCAACCAAGAUGACAGAUACGGCAGACUUCUUGCUGGAAACUAUGCAGGCCAGAAGACAAUGGAGUGCACACUUACAGUGUUAAGAGAAAAACUGUCCACCCAGAAUUAUAUAACCAGAAAACGGUAAAAAUGAGGGAGCUUUCAACCUCAUCAGACAACAGGAUGGAAACAGCAAUCUUGCCACAAGACUUGCACCUACCAAGUGCCAGGUGUUUUAUUAGGCAGACAAAAAUGACACUGGAUACCUAGUUAGAGAAGCAGCAGAGAGCACCCCUGUGGAGUGAAGGAAGGGAGUGUAGACGCAUCAUUGCUUCAUUUUCCUCUUUGGUUCCUGCUCUUUCUGAAACUCCACUGUAUGCGUAUCAAACCAGCACGGCCGCAGGCGCCUGGAGCUGUGCUCUCUGGUUCUGUUCACCUGCUCCUUUAUGUUUGGGUCUCAGUUUGGGUAAUUUCUGUUGGUCUGUCUUAACUUUCCUUGAGAAUUUCAAGUCUAAGGAGCCUGCUGACUGCAUUAUCCAUCUGCUGCUGUGUGUCUGGUUCUGCUCAUUGCUUUACAUCUCAGCACUGUUAUUGUUUUCCUUGUUGUUGUUGUGUGAGUUUUUUUUUAUACACCUUACAUUUUUUUUUUUUUUUGCAAAAGUCAAAUAUCUUAUGUAGGGCGGUAGGGACUGAGUUAAAUAGUGGCUAUGCCUAGAAUCGUCAUGUUUUCUUAUUCCUGGACUUUAAUGUGGGGGAUGAGUCAACCUACUCGGGAGCUGAACCAGUUUGGGGGUUUCUGUGGCUGUGGUCAUCCUCAAUGUGGUUUCUGCAGCCUCACCCCAGACUUGCGAAUCCAAAGGUUCGAAUUCCUCUUGUGUUUGGACCAGGGCUGACUUACUGGCCUCUGCUUCAGGCCUGGCUGUGCCUCAGCGGGGUCGCCCCUGCCCUCACACCUCUCAGCAGAAGACCACUGUUACCCGUCCACAGAUGCUCGCUGUGGCCUAGUGCUGGAGAGAGCGGGGUGAGCCUUCUUGUGGCGGCCUAUUGUCCUUCUGGGUCUCAGUGGCCACCUUUCAACUCAGCUCUGGGCUGAGGCUUGGAGGACAUCCCUGCUUCUUCCCGGGCUGCAGACUUGCCACCUCCACUCCCCCUUCUCUCAGUUGCAGUGGCUCUUUCACCUGCACUCGGGAGUGAGGGUGUCUGUUCUCCACCAACACUUCAAGGUCUUUCUCUGUAGGAGAGAUGGAGGGCAGGACCCAGUGCUGCUCCCUGCAUCUGUCACAGCCACGGCUCCUCUUCCCAAGGCCUGCAGUGCCUGGGCUGCAACUUGCUCCUCAUCUGCCCUGUGUGUACCCAACGAGGUCCAUGGAAAAAAGCCCGUGAGAGGGUGUCAAACUCUGUGCUGUGGCUUGGUAGUCUCUUGCUAGUUGGGCAUUUGUCUCUGGCUAGUUUGAUUGAUGGUCUCUUCCUGGCCUGAGCUGUACCCUUCGCAAUCUGUUAAAAGUCGUAGCUGAAUUUUUCCUCUCUGCGGCUGGUGGCCUCUGCCCUGGUGACCACAUGUCUGUGCCUUUGUCUCCGUGGGGGUGCUGUGUUUUAGGUCUUGGCUCCGCGGGUUGCCCUUCAGCCUCAGCUCUAUGGGGGACUCAGGAAAGCUCAGAUUGUCCAGCUUUAUGUAUUUUUUUGGUGUAAGGAUAGGAGCAAUGUUCUUGGUUUCCGACAUCCUGAGUGGGAAAAUAACAUGUAAUUCUUAAAGGAUCGUUCAGCUCUCUUCCUAGUUCGCCAGGUUCAGACAGUUUUUCUCCUAGUGCCAUGCCCAGGCCAUCUGUCAUCAGAAUGCUAAGCUUAUUAAAAAUGCGGAUCCUGAAGCCUCACCCCAGACUUGCAAAUCCAAAAGCCUAAGGAGCAUUCAUUUUAUCAAGCUUGCAAGGUGAUACUUCUGCAUUUUCAAGUUUGAAAACUGUUGGAUUCCAAAUGAGCCAUGUUGGGGCUCAGAGCCUGAUACCCCAAGGUGCUGAGCACUCUGGGCUGAAGGACACUGGGAGGUCUCAGAAGCAAGGUCUCUCUGACCUCCCACCCUCUGGUCUCCUGCACCUCCAGCCCAAAGAGCAAGGCUUAGAAACUCUUCUUGGUACACGUCUUUCCCAGGAAGACUUCCUUUACAAAAGGGCAGCUUUGCCAAGCUGCUCCUGUGUCUGCAGUUUCUCAAAAUAACCAGCUGGAGACAGUCACUAUACCGAGGAGGUUGAUUUUAGGGUGGAAUGCUCUGUCUCCUCGGUCAUAUUUUGGGGUGGUAGGUUUUGCCCUACCAUAGACAUUUUUUUUGCUAAUCCCCUUAAAUCUCAUAAUAAACGCACAAGUAGACACCAUGCAUCCUCUUCAUAGAUGGAGUUUUGUCUUGAAGAGGUCCUGACUUGCCGGGGGUCCGAGGCUCCCAUGUGGCAGGAGGAGGACUGAGUUCAGGAGGCCGGACGGGAAUCCCAGGGCUGUGCCAGAAUGGAGUCAGAUUCACGUGGUUAGACUCCAUCCUCGACAGGCUGUUCAGGGCGUUAGCAUGUUUGCAAGGCUGUGUACCAAAUCCACACUUCGCUUCCCUGCCCUGAAAACAAGCCCCACCCCCAUUGGCAGCUGCUGCCCAGUUCCGCCCCCUCUAGGCCCUGGAGGGCUGGACAUGUGGGCAUGUCCCUACAGGACAUCUCAGGUCAUUGCAUCGUGUGGUUCAUGGACGUCUGGGUCUGGCGUUUCCACCUAGUAAGGCAGAGGCCUCAACCACUGCAUUAGGAUGGGAAUUUUAUCAACUUGGAUGAAAGGACUAACUCCAUUCAGCUUGCUCAUGGGGAAGGAGACAGGAUGACCAUUCCAUCCCACUUAACCAGGACUUAGAGUGUCCCGCGAGCCAGCCCAGAGCUGGGCCCUCUGCUAGGGUUGGUGCAUACCACAGUUACCCCAGAGUGGGACCAACAGGUCUGUGGGGUUCUCUCCCUGAGUCCUGCACACCUACGAAGCUCUUCAGGCCAUCAGGAUGUCAGUGGCCAGGGGCCUGCUGACCAGCUCUGCUGGAGGCAGUGCUUCUCUUUCCCUGCAGAGGCCACGCUGGAGCUGCAGGUGAGAUCUAGACUGAAGCUCACAGUGGGCCUGGGGUGGGCCAGAGAGGCGCCUCCUGAGAGGCUCCCGGGCCAUGGACAGGCUGUUCCGGGGGCCGCCUGCUGAGGGGCAAGGGCUCAGACACACAAGGUCACAGAGCGACAAGCCAUGGCUCUUGCUUAAGGAGCUUACUGUAGAGUGCAGGAGCGCUCAUGUAGCACACCAUGCCCAGCCAAGCGGCUCCGGUCCUAGUGACGACCCAGAUGUGUUCUGGGGGAGCCGCCACCUCUGGUUGAUGAGGAGACAUCCAGAAAAAAUAAAGUUUUUGCAUUUAUGAAACUGUUCAUCAAGAUGGGAAAACGUGUUAUGUAUGGGACACACAGUUCCAUCCAAAUGGUUAAUAUCUUUAGAAAAAAUGGAAGCUAAAGAGGUGGGCCCUAAUUUUCCAGAAUAUUCACUGACGUGGAAAACUUCAUUUCCUGAUAAUGCCGGGUAAAUCUGUGUUUUGAGGGCACUCCAUAUGUUUCCAGUGCUUAGGAAUCAUUUGGUUUUAUUAUCCUCAUUAACAGGCAUAAUGGCGGCUUUUUAACAGUCAUGAUCACCAUCUGGAGCCUGGAAGCCGUAGUGUGAGGCUCAGGUGGAAGGAGCGGUGCUGCCUGGGCCCGCCCUGUGUUGGCGGGGCUGCCAGGUCCCCAGGGCCGCAGCGAGCUGGACAGAAGGGGCACAGCAGAAGAGCUCCGCGCUCAGGGCCCACUGUCUCCAGAGUGUGCCGUGAUCUCAUUCUAACCUUAGUUGCUGAGUGGUGGUCCACAGUGCUCUCCUGUCUGUGCUGCUGACCCCUGACCUGCUGUUGGCAUGGUGACCAGCGGGCAGUGUGACAGCAUCACUGCUCUCCCUGCUCUCAGAGCCAACUGGACUUGAGCCCUGGGCGUCUUCCCUGAGCCUCGCAGGGAGGGGUUGCCUUGUGGGGACAGGUGGCCAGACCACUCAGUGCCAGGUAACCAUAGCAGCCUGAUUUCGGCUGCCUGAAAGAAUUCCCCACGCAAAGACACUUCGCCGGGAGAAUUCCAAUUUUAUUGCAAAAAGCUGUGUGCUUAUAUAGAACUAAAGGGGAGAUGGCAGGGCUUAGAUAAAUGGCAGGCCACCCGUUUAUUGGCAAGUUCUUCCAGAUAUCAGCUCCCGCGCCCAGGAAUUAAUUCUCAUUGGGGCUAAGGUUCCCCGCCAGCGAGAUUUGAAAUUGGCGCCAGCGGGAGAGUUCACAAGGGCGGGAACUUUUCGCGCCACUGCAGAGAAGAAGUUCUUAGGCGCCAUGUUGGGGUUUUUUCUCUGGGGUAUGGCUGCCGUUUAUACUUUUCCCAACACUGCCCUCCUGGGUUCUGCAGGGCUCCUCCUCACGCUGACCCCAGCCUGUAACCCAGCAGCAUGGAGACCAGCUCGUGUGUUUCACAGGGCGGUGAAUCACUUCCGGGCGUGGUGGCCGGGCAGGGUGCUGUGGGGCAGAGCGAAUGAACAGGACGGAGAGGCCACCAGACUGGGGCUCGCAGCCCUGGUGCCACAGAAAGCCUGGCCAGUUCCAGGGGAAGAGACAACACGGGAGUCGGGUCGCGCUGCCCUCCCGAGCCCCAGCCUCUCCUCCUGCCGCCCUCCCUCCCUGUCCACGUGAACGCCUCACUGCACACCGUUCUCAGGAGCCAUGAGUGCCAUCAGGGGUGCCGGAGGAAGGACGGCUUGGGGCCAAGAGCAGACACGGAAACACAGUGCACUUCAUACCAAGGAGCAGGGGGAUGCCCGUCCAGCCGCCCUGCCCUCCUGCCCCCGCCAACAUGGUGCCCAGCUGGGGAAGGCGGCCGCUACAGCUUAAGAAUGAGGACUGUUUCCCACCGAGGGGAGGAAGACUGGUGCUCCCCGACGUGUAUGUGUGUGUGUGUGUGUGUGUGAACAAGAACAAGAGCAAAAACCCCAAAGGGGGUCUACAGCAAAAGCGGUCUGUCCACCUGGGCACCUUCAGAGCUUUUGUCCCAUGGCUACGUACGUCCUAACACCUGUCACCGAGGAGGCCCAGGUUAAUUGAGAAAUAAAGUUCUACUGCAUUUUGAA